rnacentral:rRNA from 1 species
UGGGGAAUCUUCCGCAAUGGACGAAAGCCUGACGGAGCAACGCCGCGUGAGUGAUGACGGCCUUCGGGUUGUAAAGCUCUGUUAAUCGGGACGAAAGGCCUUCUUGCGAAUAGUUAGAAGGAUUGACGGUACCGGAAUAGAAAGCCACGGCUAACUACGUGCCAGCAGCCGCGGUAAUACGUAGGUGGCAAGCGUUGUCCGGAAUUAUUGGGCGUAAAGCGCGCGCAGGCGGAUUGGUCAGUCUGUCUUAAAAGUUCGGGGCUUAACCCCGUGAUGGGAUGGAAACUGCCAAUCUAGAGUAUCGGAGAGGAAAGUGGAAUUCCUAGUGUAGCGGUGAAAUGCGUAGAUAUUAGGAAGAACACCAGUGGCGAAGGCGACUUUCUGGACGAAAACUGACGCUGAGGCGCGAAAGCCAGGGGAGCGAACGGGAUUAGAUACCCCGGUAGUCCUGGCCGUAAACGAUGGGUACUAGGUGUAGGAGGUAUCGACCCCUUCUGUGCCGGAGUUAACGCAAUAAGUACCCCGCCUGGGGAGUACGACCGCAAGGUUG